rnacentral:lncRNA from 1 species
UUUAAAACUAAAGUGUUUAUAUUUAAAUCGAUCCAAUUAAAAACGGUAUACCAAUACAAAACAAUACAAAAAACAGUUUCAUGCAUCAAUAUACCAAUUUCUUUUUUUGAAUGGCUAAUAAGAUAUUAUAUAAAAAAUGGAGAAAUAUACAACGAGUACAAGAAAUACUCAGGUCUAAGAGAAGCACAAAGCAAUUAUACAAUAGCCAAAUGCAAAAGAAAAGAAAGAAAAAAAGAUAUAGAGAAAAAAACAUGCUAGGAAAAAUCAUCCAAGCACCCAGAAGCACGAAAACCAAACACCACCACAAAACGCUAUAAGUUUCAACAUAAGACGAGUUCCACCUCCCGGUCAUAGAAGGAGAGCGGCGCCAGACUUCUUACAAAGGAAACAUAUGAUAGAGAAGAUAUUUUAUGUUUAUGAUAUCCCUGAAUGAAGGUGGACAUUGACAAUAUAUUUGGUUAAUUGUAGUUACAUCACAAGUUUGAUGAUGAAGUAGUAACACUAAUACUAAUACUAUUACUAUUACUACUACCACCAUAAUUUGAAGGAAGCAUAAUAUCUUUGAGUUGAGCCCAUCUACCCAACCAUUAUCAAUGACUAGUUGUAAGUAAGGACACACAUGUCUUUUUCUAUGUCAAAGUCUUUAUGAACUAUUAUUAUUCCACAUAUAAAAACAAGGAUUUCUUUCUCUACACUUAAUUGAUGCUUAAAUUGUCUUUCCAUUUAGAACCAUACAAUACACCUAUAUAAGAUUAUUAUAUAUCCCUAUU